GAAUCUGCCUCAGGAGGGGGAUAACGGUUGGAAACGACCGCUAAUACCCCAUAUGCCGAGAGGUGAAAUGAAAUUCGCCUGAGGAUGAGCUCGCGUCUGAUUAGCUAGUUGGUAAGGUAAUGGCUUACCAAGGCAUUGAUCAGUAGCUGGUCUGAGAGGAUGAUCAGCCACACUGGGACUGAGACACGGCCCAGACUCCUACGGGAGGCAGCAGUGGGGAAUUUUCCGCAAUGGGCGCAAGCCUGACGGAGCAACGCCGCGUGAGGGAUGAAGGCCUCUGGGCUGUAAACCUCUUUUAUCAAGGAAGAAGAACUGACGGUACUUGAUGAAUAAGCCACGGCUAAUUCCGUGCCAGCAGCCGCGGUAAUACGGGAGUGGCAAGCGUUAUCCGGAAUUAUUGGGCGUAAAGCGUCCGCAGGCGGUUUUACAAGUCUGUCGUUAAGGCGUGGAGCUCAACUCCAUUUCAGCGAUGGAAACUGUAAGACUCGAGUGUGGUAGGGGCAGAGGGAAUUCCCGGUGCAGCGGUGAAAUGCGUAGAUAUCGGGAAGAACACCAGUGGCGAAAGCGCUCUGCUGGGCCAUAACUGACGCUCAUGGACGAAAGCCAGGGGAGCG
rnacentral:rRNA from 1 species